GGGAAACGGGCGAAGGGGCCAGCCUCAGGCCCCGUAUCAAACUUUCGGGGUA
rfam:Fukomys damarensis contig161194, whole genome shotgun sequence.